rnacentral:rRNA from 1 species
UACGUAGGGUGCGAGCGUUAAUCGGAAUUACUGGGCGUAAAGCGUGCGCAGGCGGUUUGUUAAGCCAGAUGUGAAAUCCCCGGGCUCAACCUGGGAAUGGCGAUGGAUACUGGCGAGCUAGAGUGUGUCAGAGGAUGGUGGAAUUCCCGGUGUAGCGGUGAAAUGCGUAGAGAUCGGGAGGAACAUCAGUGGCGAAGGCGGCCAUCUGGGACAACACUGACGCUGAAGCACGAAAGCGUGGGGAGCAAACAGG